rnacentral:rRNA from 1 species
GGCUCAUUAAAUCAGUUAUCGUUUAUUUGAUAGUACCUUACUACUUGGAUAACCGUGGUAAUUCUAGAGCUAAUACAUGCUGAAAACCCCGACUUCGGGAGGGGUGUAUUUAUUAGAUAAAAAACCAACGCCCUUCGGGGCUCUUUGGUGAUUCAUGAUAACUUAACGGAUCGCAUGGCCUUGCGCCGGCGACGGUUCAUUCAAAUUUCUGCCCUAUCAACUUUCGAUGGUAAGGUAUUGGCUUACCAUGGUUUCAACGGGUAACGGGGAAUUAGGGUUCGACUCCGGAGAGGGAGCCUGAGAAACGGCUACCACAUCCAAGGAAGGCAGCAGGCGCGCAAAUUACCCAAUCCCGACACGGGGAGGUAGUGACAAUAAAUACUGAUACAGGGCCCUUUUGGGUCUUGUAAUUGGAAUGAGUACAAUUUAAACCCCUUAACGAGGAACAAUUGGAGGGCAAGUCUGGUGCCAGCAGCCGCGGUAAUUCCAGCUCCAAUAGCGUAUAUUAAAGUUGUUGCAGUUAAAAAGCUCGUAGUUGAACCUUGGGCCUGGCUGGCCGGUCCGCCUCACCGCGUGUACUGGUCCGGCCGGGCCUUUCCUUCUGGAGAUCCGCAUGCCCUUCACUGGGGUGUGUUGGGGAACCAGGACUUUUACUUUGAAAA